ACCGGCGAAGUUGAAGCGGUAAAAGCUUAAAUGUUGAAAUCUAGCGUCUUUGGCGUUCGAGUUGUAAUUUGAAGAUGGUAACCUUGGAUAUAGUCUUCGGCUAUGUUCCUUGGAACAGGACGUCACAGAGGGUGAGAAUCCCGUGUGCUGAGGUGUCUAUAUCCAUGUAAGGUGCUAUCGAAGAGUCGAGUUGUUUGGGAAUGCAGCUCUUAGUGGGUGGUAAAUUCCAUCUAAAGCUAAAUAUUGGCGAGAGACCGAUAGCGAACAAGUACAGUGAUGGAAAGAUGAAAAGAACUUUGAAAAGAGAGUGAAAAAGUACGUGAAAUUGUUGAAAGGGAAGGGCAUGAGGUCAGACUUGGUAUUAAGUGAUCAUUUCCUCUCGGGGAGGUGCUCUCGCUUUUUACUGGGCCAGCAUCAAUUUGGGCGGUAAAAUAAUGACAUUGGAAUGUGGCAUUCUUCGGGAUGUGUUAUAGCCUUUGUUGAUGUUGCCAGCCUGGACUGAGGACCGCGCAUUAUUGCUAGGAUGCUGGCGUAAUGGCCUUAUGCCGCCGUUGAAAAA
rnacentral:rRNA from 1 species